AGUCAUAUGCUUGUCUCAAAGAUUAAGCCAUGCAUGUCUCAGUAUCAGCAUUUUCAUCGCUAAACUGCGAAUGGCUCAUUAAAACAGUUAUAGUUUACUUGGUGAUCAAUAGUUAUACGGUUCAUAACUGUGCUAAUUGUAGAGCUGAUACGUGCAUUAAAACCCGACUUUACUGAAGGGUUGUAUUUAUUAGAUACAGAACCAAUUCCUUUCGGGGAUUUUGGAGGAUUCAUGAUAAACGAACGGAGCGAGUGGCAUGAGCCGUCGCUGAACCAUUCAAGUUUCUGACCUAUCAGCUUCCGACGGUAGGGUAUUGGCCUACCGUGGCUUUGACGGGUAACGGGGAGUUAGGGUUCGAUUCCGGAGAGGAAGCCCGAGAAACGGCUACCACAUCUAAGGAAGGCAGCAGGCGCGCAAAUUACCCACUCCUGACACAGGGAGGUAGUGACAAGGAAUAGCAAUGCAGGUGGCAAUUGCCAUUGUGCUAUUGGAAUGAGUGGACUUUAAAUCCCUUUUCGACUAUCGAU
rnacentral:rRNA from 1 species